rnacentral:hammerhead_ribozyme from 1 species
CUUCAACUGACGAGUCUAAAAUAGGACAAAACACUCGUUCUGGAC